AGCGAACGCUGGCGGCAGGCCUAACACAUGCAAGUCGAACGAACUCUUCGGAGUUAGUGGCGGACGGGUGGGUAACACGUGGGAACGUGCCUUUUUGUUCGGAAUAACUCAGGGAAACUUGUGCUAAUACCGAAUGUGCCCUUCGGGGGAAAGAUUUAUCGCCAUUAGAGCGGCCCGCGUCUGAUUAGCUAGUUGGUGAGGUAACGGCUCACCAAGGCGACGAUCAGUAGCUGGUCUGAGAGGAUGACCAGCCACACUGGGACUGAGACACGGCCCAGACUCGUACGGGAGGCAGCAGUGGGGAAUCUUGCGCAAUGGGCGAAAGCCUGACGCAGCCAGGCCGCGUGAAUGAUGAAGGUCUUAGGAUUGUAAAAUUCUUUCACCGGGGACGAUAAUGACGGUACCCGGAGAAGAAGCCCCGGCUAACUUCGUG
rnacentral:rRNA from 1 species